rnacentral:rRNA from 1 species
AUUGAACGCUGGCGGCAUGCCUUACACAUGCAAGUCGAACGGCAGCACGGGAGCAAUCCUGGUGGCGAGUGGCGAACGGGUGAGUAAUAUAUCGGAACGUGCCCAGUCGUGGGGAUAACGUAGCGAAAGCUACGCUAAUACCGCAUACGAUCUAUGGAUGAAAGCGGGGGAUCGCAAGACCUCGCGCGAUUGGAGCGGCCGAUAUCAGAUUAGGUAGUUGGUGAGGUAAAGGCUCACCAAGCCGACGAUCUGUAGCUGGUCUGAGAGGAGACCAGCCACACUGGGACCUGAGACAGGCCCCAGACUCCUACGGGAGGCAGCAGUGGGGAAUUUUGGACAAUGGCGGCAAGCCUGAU